CGAGAAAACUUUGCAAUGUGCGAAAGCACGACAAGGUUAAUCCGAGUGGUUUCUGCUAAAGGAACCUUUUGUCGGUCCUAGAAACACCGAUGAAUAAGGGGUGGGCAAGUUCUGGUGUCAGCCGCCGCGGUAAAACCAGCACCUCAAGUUGUCAGGAUGAUUAUUGGGCCUAAAGCAUCCGUAGCCGGCUCUGUUUAGUUUUCGGUAAAUCUAUACGCUCAACGUAUAGGCUGGCCGGGAAUACUGCAGAGCUAGGGAGUGGGAGAGGUAGACGGUACUCGGUA
rnacentral:rRNA from 1 species